CCUCGCUCUUGAUGCAGCUCCUGCUCCGCAUCGAGCUCCUUCAGGCCUGCCCUAAGACUUGCAGCUUCAAACCCGGCGAGGUGUGCUGGGAUCCCGAGUGCCUCCCGCCUCCCGCUCCUGUGCCGGCGUGCUGCGAUGAUAAACAAGAGUGAAUUGUGGGCUCAGACAACAGCUGGAACAUGUGCAGUGGCAGCCAACUGGAUAAGGCUUCUGAAGAGGGAGUGGCACUAAACAAAACCAACAGAUUUAACUGACUGCCGAAGUUGUAUUCAGCUGCAUCUCCCAAGAGCUUGCUCAGCAAUGCCAACACAUUGUGGAAUCAAUGGGGAAGAGGAGGAAGACAAGCAG